rfam:Ornithorhynchus anatinus chromosome 3, whole genome shotgun sequence.
AUGUUGUAUGAGAGGAGAGAAUGUUAGCACUCCUCUUGAGAAGGAUGGAAGAGAUCCUGGUGGCUUUUACAACACAUAUAUGAUUAAGGUAUUGCCACCUACAUCGUGACAUCUAACCAAGUUUUUGG